rnacentral:lncRNA from 1 species
GGGCUCACGUUUCUUCUUCUCCAUUAGAGAAAAAAAGCAGCAGCGGCACAUUACAGAAAACGAUCCCCUCUCCCGCUGAAGCUUCGUCGUCUUUUUCGAGACCUCACCCGACCCGUUUUUUUUCCUUCAACUCCUCCUCUCGCCAGUCAGUGGCGAACUCGCCGGAAAACUCACAAAGCUCCAUCGCCACUGCUCCUUCUUCUUCGUCUAUCAUAGCUACAACAGCCAUGGAACCUGCUUGAAUCCUCCAUAAAACAGUUCAGCUUCGAAACAGAUCCAAACCCAGCGUGAAAACACACAAGAGAAGCGGUCUCGCUUUCGUAUAGGAACAAAUCUCGAACUGCUACUAUUUUCGCAGAAAAACAUCCCAAAAUAAUUUUAAACCAUCCGUUACUGUCAUGGAGUUCGCUGGUCUCGUUUUUUAGUUUUAGUUCGAGUUUUCCGGCGAGUUUCAAGGCUUCCAUGUCGAGGCUCCGGUUCGUUAGUUUCAUUGUUUCAGCCUGCGGAUCAUGGCUCUGGUAUGUUUCUUAGAGUUCAUUGAUUCCUGUUGCUGCUUGUUGCGUCACUUUCUGUCCUCGAACUUCUUUCGUAAUUUAUUCUCACGUCAUACUAAUUACGGGUUCGUCGAUGUAUUCAGUUUCGUUUCAUUUUUGCUUUACCACUGUUGGUUUUGGUUUACAUGUUAUCAAGUAUACAGUAUAAUUAUGGUGUAUUAUGACUUGAAGCCUAGUGUUGUUUUAUUUUCUGUGAAGCUUGAGCAAAUUAUCUUUUAUUUCCAUGUUUUAGUUUUUUUUGUUUUGUUUAAGCAAAUGAUAGGCUGUCAUGUACAUGCCGCUUGGCUAAACAAUAAUUGAAGGUCAUUAUUUGGGGGAAGUGUUAAAUUUAAUUUGCAAAGUUUAUUCAUUGAAUGUUCUUGACCAUGUCUAAAGUGAAAGCAUCGUAUAUUCAUUAUUGACUGUGUAUCUGAGCGUUCAUUUGGGCAUAAUUGAGGGAUGUUAAGUUGGUAUUUUGGUAGGACACCAUCUUAAUUUGCCAAAUUUUAUUGUCCAUUAAAUUGCUUUAAUUAUGUUAAGUCAAUUUGUGAUAAUUAGAAUCCUGCAAAAUCCAGUGACCUUGUUUAUAUGGUAUCAUAUGAAAGGAUAACUACAAUCUUUUAGGUAAAAUGGGUCACGUCAUCUGUUGAGUGGGAUGUGUUUGUCUAUUCCAAGGGAUAAUUAAUUAGUUAUUAAAAAUGAAUAUCCGUAAUUGAAUGUCUUUCCUUUAAUAAAAGUGAGGUGUGCCGUGCCAAAUAAAAAUUACAAUUGCGUGGUUCUCACUUUACUUGCUUUUGAAUUGAUCCUUAGAUUCCGAGGCGUGCCAUUUAGCUAAAUUUCAUGGCCCUCGCAAAUUACAAAUUCGGAAUUACUUUAGGCACGUUAGUUAAUAAUACUACCUUCUUAAACUCGGGUGUGCAUUGAUGCAACCCAAAUCCAAAUCUCGACGAAGUCGAAAUGUGUUGACAACCACGGGUGCCUUGAUGGCGACGGGGUUAAAAAUGCGUUUUCAUGACGUCGUAAUUCUUAUAAAACAAAUAGUAAUUGAAAAAUGGUUCAAAAAUGGAGACGAGCCUCACUGAACAAGAAUAAAUGUGGGGCCCUCAAUAUUUGGUUAUUUAAAAAUGAUUAGAAUUUGGAAGGGUCGUUUAGCGAAUUUCAACGGCCUUUCCCAAACAAUAUUACGUUAGAACCUUUAAGCGUGAUUUAAUUAAAUUAUUUUCUUAAAUUUGGGUGCGCAUUGAUGCGACCCAAAUCCAAAUCUCGACGAAGUCAAAAUAUGUUGACAACCACAGGUGCCUUGAUGGCGACGUGGUCAGGGACGCGUUUUCACGACGUCGCAAGUCUUUUAAAAUAAAUAAUGUUAAAAGCGGUAUAUAAAUAAAAGGCACAUAAGUUAGCAUGUACUAAAAUCAGAUAAAAUCAAAUGCAACAGUUAAGCGACCGUGCUAGAACCACAGAACCUGGGAAUGCCUAACACCUUUUUCCGGGUAAACAGAAUUCCUUAUUCGGAUUUCUGGUUCGCGGACUGUGAACAGAGUCAUCUUUUUCCUCGGUUCAGGAUUCAAUUGGUGACUUGGUGAACCCGGGAAUGCCUGACACCUUCUCCCGGAUUAACAGAAUUCCUUACUCGUAUUUCUGGUUCGCAGACUGUAACAGAGUCAUGUUUUUCCUCGGUUUGGGAUUCAACCGCUGACUUGGGACACCAUUAGUCUCCCAAGUGGCGGCUUUGAAUAAUUAAUAAACUAAAUCCCGUUCUGAUUGUCCUUUAAUUGGAAAAACUCCUUUACGCCCUUUUACGGGGGUGUACAGCGAAAAAGGAGGUGUGACACUCAUUAAUAAGCCUAUAACCAUGUACAAACCCUAGACGACCCAAAUCAAUGUGAUCAUCUUCCAACCAACACGUGUAGUGUGACACAAACCUGUCAUUAUACCUGUCUGGUUCAAUAGAUUCCUUCCCUAAGACGAGCUUGCACUGCCACAUGUGCUGAGCUUGACAAAUGUGCGGGCUAUCAUCAUCUUGAAAGGCGGCCCUAAAAUGACUCAUCUUCUCUAUCCUUGGUAUGAUCUGCUUUCUUCCAGCUUGAUUCAUGGAUCGGAGAGGAACACAAGGUAAGUUCCUCUUAAGCCGAUGAGUAUAAGGAAUGGUGUAUCUCAAGAACGGAUAAUGAACUCCCUUGUUGGGAACCACUUGCUCUUCCUUUAGAUUUUCAAACAGCUCUACCCAUCCACUGGCAUCCUAUGGAUGAACAAACAUGUUGGGCAUGAAGUUCAUGCGCUUUGGGUGGUGAAAAGUGAUAUGGUCAUCCCAGUCCCUGCGUAUGAUUUCCUGUCUGUAGUCGCCUUCCUGAAGGUGUUCUAUGAGCCAAAGCUGAAGUAACAGAUUGCACCUUCCAAAGUGUGGGGCUCCUUGCUCACAUUUUCCUAAAGCUCAAUACAUUUCGGCAAUGAUCAUUGGCAUUAUGCUGAAAGAAUGCCCAUCAAUACCCUCCAUCAAGGCUUUGGAAACCAUGGCUAGUUUGGUGUGGAUCCUAGCCUUCUUCAUCGGAAAGAUCAUCAUACCCAAGAAGCAGAACAUGAACACAAAGACCCUUUUAUGUAUGUGCCCCAAAGAUGUAAGGGCGAACUCAUCAGGGUAGGUGCAGAGACCUUGUUGUGGCCAAACCUUUCAUAUAGGAAGUCAAGUGGUAUGUAGGACUCCUUUAGACAAGUCAGAUCGGGAUUCUUCUUAAGUCCCAUCAUUUUAAGGAAACCCCUUCCUUUGCGAUUUUCUGGCAUAAGUAGACCUGGAGUCUCCCAGAGUAUUCCUGCUAGACCCCCUAUUUCUUCCAGCAACGGGGUCAUCUUGAGGUCCCCGAAGCAAAAAUCUUACAUGUCACUGUCCCAGAAUAGAGUGUCAGCUUCGAUAAUCUUGUUGUCAAGCUUAACUUCCAAAAGUGAAGGAAGGUUUCCUAAGUAUUUGCGGACGAGGGUCUGAUCACUGGCAUGAUGGGGUUCUCAAGGUCCCCGAAGCGAAAAGCUGACCUAUCACUAUCCCAGAAUAAAGUAGGAGCUUCGAUAAUCUUGUUUUUAGGCUUAACUUCCAAAAGUGAAUGAAGGUUUCCUAAGUAUUUGCGGAUGAGGGUCUGAUCACUGGCAUGAAGGUCCUCCCACCAGCUUUACAACCUCGGGUGAAUGUUGGAUACUAUACCGAAUCUGGGGACUUUGUGCCUCAUUUUCUACAAAACAAAGUGUUAGGCUCUUAACCCCACCAGACUCGACUAUUUAAAUAAAUAAUUAGCAAAAAAGACAUUUAGUUCUCCAAAUAAAUGCACAUUACGUGGAGAUGUUCGUUUAGGUUCCGAGGAAACUCGGUGGACUUUGGUUUAGGCUAUCUUAAUGAGUUAUUAUGUGGACAACAUAACUGACUCGGCUAGGGUUGACCAUUAUGCAUGAACAGUUUAAUGGAAUAAGGUUUCUACUUUUGAAGUUCUAGAAAAUGUACCCUUGAGCGGACAACUCAAGAGGGAAAGGCGCAGAACCGUCGAAUACACCGUUGAUCGACUGGUUUUACUGCAGAUAUGCCUUUGCCACAUUUAUAAUAUUAGAAGGGCGCAACAACUCAUUAUAAGCGUUGAUAUAGGAUUUGUUUUGGCAUGAGUGGAAUAUGAUGUUGAGGAAUGCAAUUACAACAAUGAAACAAAUUACAUGUAUUUUCACAUUCAUAAAGUAAAGAUUACAAUAAAUGGUCGGAAUUGAAAUAAUAAUAAGGCAAUAAAAGAAAGAAAAAGGAAAGAAAACCAUUAAGAGCCAAGUUAGUAUUCAUGAUGAAAUAAUUAAAGGCAAGAAAAUACAGGCAAUUAAGGGAGCGAUAAAGUCACAAAAGCACGUAAUGGUAAAAGCCUUAAAGUCUCCCCAGCAUAGUCGCCAUGAUGUCGACGCUCCCUCUUUUUUCAAAAGAGUGUAAUUGGUUUUACGACAUUAUGGACAAAACAUUUCUAAUUGGUUUUUGAAGAGUCGCCACCUAAUGAUUAUAGUGCAUUAGGACACUUAAAAGAAAAGAAGAAGAUUGUUGAAGGAAGACUAGAGUUCGGGUAAGGGCUUGAGAUUUUCUCGAGGAGAAGGUGUUACGCACCCCUCAAGAUCCACUAGUGUGGUUCCCGGCCGUACUUAGUUGUGACUUUAAGAAGAGUAAAAGUAAACAAACAAUGUUUGCACAUAAGGAAUAAAUUGGAAGUUUUGAAAGAAAAGAUAGGGAAAAGACAUAAGUGGUUUUGGAAAAAGAUUAAUUGAAGAAAACAUUAAUUCUUAACAAAACAUCACAUCAUAUAAAUAAAGAAAAGGGGUCCUAGGUAUAAAUAUAAUAUGGAUCAGUUUGGUACAAUAAACAGCAACCAUUCUCAUAAGUGAUAUUAGCGCACCAGUCAUCAUAUCCAUAUUCUACCCUUCCCACCUCGUUAAUGUAGUGCACCAGUCACCAUAUACAUAUUCUACCCUUCCUACCCCAUUAAGUUAUUAAACAUGAUUAGUCUCAUUUACUUAUUGCAUAUUAAUACCCGUCCCAACCUGUCAGUCCCGGGUUCAAGACUCCUAAUCCUAAAAAGGGGAAGCAUAGGCAUAUGUGGAGUUUCAAAAGGAUAAAAGGCUAAGGCGACAAGCAAAACAAGUAGCAAAUAUUGAAGGACGAAACAAAUACACGAAAGGCUCAUUUAAACCCCAUGAAUCACAUAGAAAUUAGUUUAGCAUGUCUUGCAUAUACUGAUUUGGUCUUUAAUAUUAAACGGUGGACAGAUUAAUUAACACAUAGAGUUGGAUACAAAGUCUGCAUUAGGCAACCCAGAUCCAAUUGUUAGAAGUUGGGGUAUUUUGUACAAGUUAUUGAUUUCAGACAAGAGCCUAAUGUAGAAGAGUUAGAAAAUAGAAAGUUGAAAAUUGCAGAGGUUCAGAAAUGACUUUGAAAUCUACAUAUUUGCGUGAGUGAAAAACAAGAGAGUCAUGAAAUGUCAUAAUACUUUAAAAGAAAAAGUGAGCGAAGGGACUGUUUUGAAAGAUAGUUUCAAAAGAUACAUGAAAUUUAGGUAUAAGGUUUAAAAGAAUUGUUUCAGACAGACUUGCAAAAUUUGGAAAGCAUUACAUGCUUAUAAGAGUUUUGAAAACGUGAUACCGAAACACUAAAACCAGUUAUCGAUUUACUACUUAAAUAGAUUAAGCGAUACGGACUUGUUUUGAAUUUUACGGAGUUGGUAAAUAGACGGCAUGUCCGGUUAUCCUAUGGUUUUGCCUAUGCGUAUAUAUUUCCUAUAGACAUGGUUUCUAUUGCAUGAAUAUUAAGUCCUAUAGGCAAGAUUUCUGAUGACUUGCAAUAUGACUGAAUAUUACACCUUAUAGGCAAAAUUUCUAUAUGAUCGGAUUGUGUGUUAUGCAUUAAAUCUAUAGGCAUGAUAUCUAAGUAGUGUAGUUCAAACAUUAGAACUCUAUAGGCAUAAUAUCUAAAUAAUUGAAUUACAACAUGAAUCCUAUAAGCAUGGUAUCUAAGUGGUCGAGUUCAAAUAUUAAAACCAUAUAGGCAUGAUAUCUAAGUGAUUGAAUUGCAACAUGAAUCCUAUGAGCAUGGUAUCUACCUUUGGAUGCAAAAAUAAACAUAGACCCAUCCCAUGCCCCUUACUAAUUUAUCCCCGAGUUCUUUUUACAAGAUUAUUACAAAAUUAGAAGAGAGAAUGUAAACAAAAAUACAUCAUAGCCCACAGCUAGAUCCGAGCAGCCUAAUAUCCAAUACAUGUGUUUCACCAAAUUCGGAUUCAAAAUUCCAAGGUCUUCUCUUAUUCAUAGUGUUUCAAAGUUCCAAGGAGCUUCAAGAGCUCAGUCAAUGCUUACAUUGUAACAGAAUAGUGUAAGUGUAGAAUUACCAGCCCUCAGGCAUCCAAGUUCAGAGGACACUCCAAGGUCCCUAAGCAUGGCUUACCAAUAGGGGGGGGUAGAACUUAGGAACUAGGAAUGAGUGCAAAGUGAGAGGGAAACCAUAGCAGAGGGUUGUCAUACCCAGCUAUGGCAUAGGCUGGCACACCCCUGACCCUUUGCUUAGGUCAAACAAAUAGGAGCAGACUCUAGGGAGUCAAACUUAGAGUCUGAGUGGUGAUUAGGACACUACCAGACCCAAUUUAAGGCUCAACACAUAAAGGGAAUAGGGAAUGGGAAAGCAUUUGAGUAGACUCAGGAGAGUCUGAUUCUGGAUAAUGGACAACAAUAUCAGAUGCUGCCUUGAUUCAGAACAGUACUAGCACACAAAAAGGGAAUAUGGGGAAAAGAUUUUCAUACAGAAGCAUACACUAACAUAAAAAAAUAUAAGAAAACAUAGCAGACUGCAGAUGCAAAGAUCUAUAAGAACAUGCUAUAGAACAUGAACACAUAGUGAUGAAUGUGUAGAAGAAGAGAAGUAAAUACACAUAAUAGGAAAGUGUUAUUUAACUUAGAAGCACAUACCAGUUUUGAGUUCUAGUACCGCAGAGAAACAAUAGCAAGUAGCAACCAGACAGUUAGCAGAAAACUUCAGCAAGUACUUGGGAGUUCAGAAGAACUACAGAAAUAUUCAGACAAUAGGAGAUAAAGGAGCAGAGUGCUUGGUAGCAGUAGAGAAGGUAGUAGUAGAGAGCGUAGUAGUAGAGAAAAUAGUAAAGAAAGACAUGGGUGAUUAUGUGUUGCAAAGGUUCAGAAAGAAUUCUGAGAACUGUGUUGUGUUCGAGUGUUUUUGUGUAAAAACUUGUGUUUUUUUAACUUGUGAGAGUUGUGAGCUUUUAUAGUGCAAAAAUGAGUAGACAAGAAGUCAAGGAAAUAAAAUCUCAGUCAAUCAAAUAAAAUCUCCCUUAGUCAAAGGGAUUUGAUUUCAAAAAAAGAAUUCUGAGAACUGUGUUGUGUUCGAGUGUUUGUGUAAAAACUUAUCCUAGAACUUCUGAGAGCUGUGAGCUUUUAUAGUGCAAAAAAACGAGUAGACAAGAAGGCAAGAAAAUAAAAUCUCAGUCAAUCAAAUAAAAUCUCCCUUAGUCAAAGGGAUCUGAUUUCAAACAUGAGUGGUAAUUAAGGGAAGAAAAACCUUUCAGAGUAUCAUAAUAAAGGGUAGGUUCAUACAGAGUCUAUUUAAGGUAAGAAACUAUAGUACACGGUUUUGAAAGAAUAAGGAAACAAAGUAAUCAAAUAGCCGGAAAGUUUUAAAAGCUUUUAAUGAACUUAGUCGGGAAAAUAGGGAAAAGGCUAAGUUGUAAAAAUUAGUAGCAAAUCAAUCGAGCCUUAGCGAAGGGGAUUGAAAUCAAUCAAAAACUAACAAUAUUAAUUCAAAAAGAACAAAACCCUCGCAUAUAAGCACGCUAGUAUCAAGCAAGAAGAAAGAUUGACAUAAACAGUUUUUGAAUCAUAAGCAAAAAAGGAAAGCAAGUUUCAGUUCAGUCUAUGAACUCAGCACAAAUUUGAGAGCCUAAGGUUUCUAGAGUAGAACCCUAGAACCAAAAGCUCGCGAAACCCCCCAGGUUUCUAUCCGAGUAGGACACACAAAAGAGAAGGCAAACUCAACAAGCCUAAAAGAGUUCCCUGAGGAAAUACAUAGACACACGUAGCAAUCAAAAGCAGUAGAGUGAAAGCUUGUAAAGAACAAGUUUUAAGAAAACUAAAACUCAGACCAGUUCAGAGAAGAGAUGCCAUAAGAGUUUAGGAAACAGUGAAAGAAGCAACUUCAAUAACCCAAAUAGAUUCAGUAAAAGUAAACACUUUCAGUAGCAGAAAUAGUAAAGGGACAAGCAAGAUAGGCGUAUAAACAUGUUUGUAGAAAAAUCAGUAGAAGCGAUAAUAGAACAAAGGCGAAAAGACAUGCAUAUUAACGACAAAUCAUAAGGAACAAACAAAAAUCCCCUAUAGCAUGGAAUGAACACACAGAUCCACAUAAAGAAAGAAGAAGAAGAAGAAGAAGAAGAAGAAGAAGAAGAAGAAGAAGAAGAAGAAUCAUUUUAGGAUUUUUGAAAAACCCUAAUUUGAACAGACUAAUUUUGAAAAGAAAAAUUAGGUGAAGUCCUUAAAACAUAGAAUAGAGCACAGAUCUGCUACAUAUCUAAGAAAAAAAGGAAAGAAAAACCUCGAAUCAAGCUUUUUAGGGUUUUCUCAGAAACCCUAUAGAUGAGAAGGCCUGGAAUGGUCUGGUCCCUAAACAAAUCUGGGCCAAGGCUAAGCUUUUCAGAGCUCAAACACACCGGAAUGGAGCCAGAGAAGCCAAAGGAGCUCAGGUCAGCGGAGGACCUGAAUAGGUUUGUUGAAGGUUGAACCUUGAAAGCCUCGGAUAAUCAUGGCUUGGGGUGAAAGGGUGGAGAAUAUAGGCUGUCCAUGGCCUAAGAAGCCAUGGAUGCCGGUGGAUUUGAUCGGAGACGAAAGUAGGCGGCUAGGGUUUUCGAGUGGCCUAGAGAGCAUUUGAGAGAAGAAAGGAUAUGGGGGCGGCGGUCUUAGAGAAAUGAUUUAGGGUUAGGGUAAUUGGAAAUUAAAAAAGGUAAGAAGAAACGUGGGCCGUUGAUCAAAAUGAUCAACGGCCAGGAUUGAAUGGCGGAACCGGGCGGGUUUAACGAAUUGGGUUUUGGGCGGGUUGGAUUGAAAUUGGAUCUUUUAAUUGGGGUUGAAUUGAGGUCCAAAUUGAAGUCCAAUUGUGGCUAAAAUUGAAAUGGAAAUGGGUCGGCUUUUAAAUAGUCAUUUUUCCUCUCUUCAAUUAAUUAAAAUAGUUAAAAAUAACUUUAAAAUAAAUUGGAAGUACUGUUAUACCACAUUUUAAUACGGUUCAAACUAGAGUAUAACAUAUUGGCAAUUCUGAAGGUUUAAUUAAAUAAAAAGAGUCACCACCUAAUUAUUUUAACGGUGAAUUAGGACACCAAUUUUAACAUUUUAGCUAAGUAGUGCUUAAAAUUAACUCUGUUUAUGAUCUACUUAACCUUAGAGAUUAUGGAUAAGGGUUCUACGUAAUCCUAUAGAGAAGGUUAUGAAGGCACCCUAUAUGAUCCGUUAACUACGGUUAACCGGCCAAACUUAGGUUAAUUGAGUUUUUAAAAAAAGUAAGUAGUAACAUAUAGCAAACCUUAUUAUCAAAAAUGUUCAUAAUAUUGUAUUUACCCGCCUAGUUCAUAGUUUUGCUACAAAAUCUAUACCAAACCAAAAAUAGAUAGAUUAUACCCUAAAAAGGCGCCAAAUUUGUACAAAUCAGAUUUAAUGGUGAUUCUAUCACCAUUAGUUUCGAAAUUUAUAACGGAAGAAAAUCCAUUGCAGCGUAAUUCUUUCCUUCUCCAUAUAUUUUCCACCAUUGAUAGCCAUUAAAAAGCUUGAAAGCUUUGAAUUCAAAUUUGGAUUUUCAAAAAUUAUNNNNNNNNNNNNNNNNNNNNNNNNNNNNNNNNNNNNNNNNNNNNNNNNNNNNNNNNNNNNNNNNNNNNNNNNNNNNNNNNNNNNNNNNNNNNNNNNNNNNNNNNNNNNNNNNNNNNNNNNNNNNNNNNNNNNNNNNNNNNNNNNNGGUGAAAAUUAGACUUGGUUUUGUUUGAAUUUCAGAUUGAAACUCGUCGAAGAAGAAGAAGACAUAUUUUUUCAGAAAUUGUAGUUAAAUUGUAGAUAAUUUGUAGAUAAAUUAUAGAUUGGGAAGAUUAAAACUUCUACAAGUCUUCUACAAUUAUGUCUAAAAUACCAAUUAUACUACAAUUGAAAUGAGAAUUGGAAUAUUAAAAUUCAAUGUAUUCAGUUUGUAGAUACAAUUUCUACAAAUAAACUACAAAUCAGUUUAAGUAUUUUCCUUCUCCAUAAUUUUCCACCAUUGAUAGCCUUUAAAAAGCUUGAAAGCUUUGAAUUCAAAUUUGAAUUUUCAAAAAUCAUUAUCUGUUUGGAUUGGGUGUUGUUGUAAAUAAUUCAAAAUAUGUUUAGAGUUUAUAUCUCAAUUUUGAGGGGUUUUGACUGAAUUUCAGAUUGAAACUCGUCGAAGAAGAAGAAGACAUAUUUUUCCAGAAAUUGUAGUUAAAUUGUUGAAUUGUAGAAUUGUAGAUAAUUGUAGAUUGGGAGGACUAAAACUUCUACAAGUCUUUUACAAUUAUGUCAAAAAUUCCAAUUAUGCUACAAUUGAAAUCAGAAUUGGAAUAUUAAAAUUCAAUGUAUUCAGUUUAUAGAUACAAUUUCUAUAAAUAAACUACAAAUCAGUUUAGUAUUGUAUAAAGUUGUACUGUUACAUUUAUACUACAAUUAAACUACAAUCUUGUGUCAAAAAAAUUUAAGCAUACCAAAGUUAAUCAAUUCUUUCAAAAUUUCAAUUUUGAAAAAAUCUUCUUUAAAUACAAUACUUGAAGAAGUACUGUAUGAGUUUGAAGUGUAUGAGUUUCUACAACGCCUUCAAUUUGAUUUCUAUAAUAAUAAUUGGCGAGACUGCUGUUACUGUAUGUUGGUAUAUAUUCACUUUAGUUGUAUAUUUAACUCAUACCUUCAAGACUUAAUCUUUUGGAUAGUUCAAAGUAGAACUCAUCGCAGGAUAAUCUCCAUUUCUAAUCUGAAUCGAAUUCCUAAUAACUUACUAAGGAUUAAUACAAUAGGCGUUUGGACAAUAUUUGGUAAAAGCUGNNNNNNNNNNNNNNNNNNNNNNNNNNNNNNNNNNNNNNNNNNNNNNNNNNNNNNNNNNNNNNNNNNNNNNNNNNNNNNNNNNNGAAGUUGACAAUAAAAUGAGUAUUUGUACAUUUGAGCUUACAAACAAUACAAAUAUCACUUGGAAAACAUUGAGUAAUUUUCUGUUCAUUCGAAAUAAAAUAUUGUAAUUCGGUAACUUAUACACCUAAUGAAUUUAACAAUGAUUAUCGUAUAUUAAGGUGGAGGAAACAUAAGGAAAGAGAAGAUAAGGAAAAAAAGAGAAAAAAGGAAUAUAUGCUCCUAAAAUCAUGCCUAGAAUAAAUGAAGCAAUAAUUAUACCCUNNNNNNNNNNNNNNNNNNNNNNNNNNNNNNNNNNNNNNNNNNNNNNNNNNNNNNNNNNNNNNNNNNNNNNNNNNNNNNNNNNNNNNNNNNNNNNAAAUUGAAAUUUGGUAUGUUUAAAUGUAAUAAACACAAACCUUAAACAUGGGAGGUAAUAAGGUUUGCUAUAUGGUAUAGAUAGGUAAAAAUCCCUUUUCCUUUUUUCUUUGAAUAUUUCUUUGAGCUUCUAUUUAGAUUUAAAAUAAUUUUAUUAGCCAUAUCAUAUAAUACUACAUAAUAUUGUUAGUUGAGCUAUUUAAUGUUACUUAAAAUAUUUAUGGUAGCUAGAAUAUAAAUUUAAAAAGUAACCUACACUAAAGUGAAAUAUCAUCACAAGUAUAAAUAUUUUUGAGAUGUUUAAUUUAAAAAGUAUUAUUAACUAAUUAUGAAAAGAAAAGAAAAAUGUGUUUUUUAAAAAUAACAGUAAUAGUAAUAAUAAUAAUAAUAGAUAUAGCUAUAAUAUUUUUAAUAAUAAUAAUAAUAAUAAAUAGGCAUAGUUUGUAUUAAAAAUAUAGUAGAACAACUACCAUACAUUAUUAAUAAUAGUAGAUGAUUAAAGAAGUAAUUUGGAAGAAAGGGGGGACAAAAUUGGGUGCAACAAGUACAACACUAAUUAUAAUAUAUAAACAUUAAUAUAAAAAUAUAUGUAAUAAUGCUAUAAUUAUAAAACGCAGUUAAUUAUAAAAAUAUGCCAUAAUUGUCAUUCUGAAUAAUUUAGCUUAAAAAUAUCAAAUAAAUCUAUAAAAAAUAUGGAAAAAAUCAUCUUAAUUAUAUUUGGUGCAAAUAUAAGGAUGAAAAAUAAAUGAAUCACAAAAAUGACAAUUUGAGAAUAAUUAUUGGGAUUUUAUACUGUUAAAAUAGACAAUAAAUUGAUUCUAAAAAUCUUUAAAAAUUAGGGAAAUACCAAAACAUUUGGGGACGCUUAUAUAUGCAUAUAUAUGCUAUUUUGAAAGUAUUUUUGAAUAUAAAAUACGUAGAAAAAAAUUGGGUAUCAACAUUCACCAUUUUUUACUUCGGCUUGAGAACUUUUAGAUGGUUUGGAAGAUAGAUUUCAAGUGAACUUCGUUAAGGUAAGGAUUUUGUACAUAAAACAUAAUACUAUGGUAGUAUUUCAUGGAUUAAGGGUGCAAUUAAAGGGCUAAAAGUGGAGGAUUAGGGCUUGAGUUUAAGAGGCCUUUAAGGGAGGAUUUGAUGGGUCAUUUGGACUCCGAUUUUAGUGUUCUUUAUAUGCUUAGACUCGUUGGGAGACGAGGAAUCUAUUGAUGUAAAAAUUUCUGAGUUUCAAGAAGUGGGAUCGCGGGUCGAAUUUUGGUAAUUUCGAAAUUUGUGCCAUUUAUUGGUUAUUUCGUUGCGUCGUUCCCUUAGCAUAUUUUGAUGUCCUCGUUCUGAUUUUGGAUAGAUUCGAUAGGCACGGAUGGUGAUUCGAGGAGCAAAGGCAUCGCGAGCUAGAGAUUUAGCUGGUUCGAGGUGAGUAAUGAUGUAAAUGAUAUUUCGAGGAUUUAAAACCCAACAUUGGACUUCAUAGUGUUAUGUUGAGGUGAGACACACGCUUGAUGACUAGCGUGGGGUCAUGUACUAUUGGGGAUUAUGACUUGGUCCAUCUUGAUUGAUGAUUUUACCGCUUAUUUGACUGAAACUUACUUGCUACCAUCAUUAUUUGGACUGAAUGCCAUAUUUGGGCUUCGUGCCAAAUAUUUAAACCCUUCGGAGAUUUUUUAUUACUAUUUUCCUCACGAUUUUGACUUAUUACUUGAACUUAGUCAUGUUAAUUUUCACUGUUUUACUGCUCAGCCAUGUUUACUAGUGUUAAGACUUAAAUGAUAUUUUAAAUAAUGUUUGGGCUGAGAAAUACUGUUUUACUACUGUCUGAGGGGCUUGUGAUAAUUUUUGGACUGAGUAAGGCCGAUGGCCUAUAUUGUGAGAAAACAUUGAUACCUAUUUGAGGCCGAGGGAAUGAGAUAUGUACGCCACGAGGUGGAUAGAUUGAUAUGAGGCCAAGGGCCUAGUUUGAUGCCACGAGAUAGCUUGUUAUUGAGCUUGGAUCAUAAGGGGCCCCUCUAGGAGUCUGCAUACCCCUAGUCAGCGUAGGUACCCAUUGUGAUGUAUGAUUGAGCCCGAGGGGCUAGUACAAUUAUGAGAUGUUUCCCGAGUGGCGAAUUUGUUUGAUACUGUGCCCAAGGGGAGAACUUCUAUUUGUUUACUUUGUCAUAAUUAUAUGUCCGUUACAUGCUUACUAGUUGAAGAAUUUUACUUGAUUUUUAUUGAUUUUACUGAUUUUAAGUGAUUUUACUGCUUCAUUAUAGAAUGUCUUGCGCUUUACGUAUUUUCUUACUUUCAGUCAUAUUUACAUUUGUUACUCACUGAAUUGGAGUACUCAUUUUACUCCCUGCACUUUGUGUACAGAUCGAGCGUAGUUGGUACGGCUUCCGAGUGCUGAUCCCUCUAGUAUCAGGCGAGCUUUCGGAGAUUUCGAGGUAGUUGUUGAUUUGUCGUUUAUUUUACCAUUUUAGCGAAGCUAAGUUUUGUCAUUUGGAAGGCAAAGAAAAAGCAGAACUAGGGAAGGAAAGGUUCUCUAGAAAAGGGAGAUAUCACGUGAGGGAGAGAGAGAGUUGAGAAAUUUUUAUGGGUUUAUUUGACCAAACUUAAAUAAGGGUUAUUUUGGUCAUGAGGAAGGUAUUCUAGAGGGUUCCUGGACUUGGGCUAGCGAAUUGGGCUUUCACAUUGGGUUAGAUUAGUUGUUAAAUUUGGACUUCUUUAAUGAAUGGGCUUAACCGAAAUGGGCUAGUUCUUUUAAGGUUUUGGGCAUUUUCCUUUUUUCUUUGUAUAUUGCUUUGAGCUUCUAUUUAGAUUUAAAAUAAUUUUAUUAGUCAUAUUAUAUAAUACUACAUAAUAUUAUUAGUUGAGCUAUUUAAUGUUAAAAUAUUUAUGGUAGCUCGAAUUUAAAUUUGAAAAAUAACCUACACUAAAGUGAAAUAUCAUCAGAAGGGUAAAUAUGUUUGAGAUGUUUAAUUUAAAAAAGUAUUAUUAACUAAUUAUGUAAAGAAAAAAAUGUGUUUUUUAGAAAUAACAGUAAUAGUACUAAUAAUAAUAAUAAUAGUUAUAGCUAUAAUAUUUUUAAUAAUAAUAAUAAUAAUAAAUAGGCAUAGUUUGUAUUAAAAAUAUAGUAGAACAACUACCAUAUAUUAUUAGUAAUAGUAGAUGAUUAAAGAAGUUAUUUGGAAGAAAUGAUGGACAAAUUGGGUGUCAACAAGUACUACACUAAUUGAUAAUAUAUAAAAUUUAAUCUAAAAUAUAUGGAAUAAUGUCAUAAUUAUAAUUAUAAAACGCAGUAAAUUAUAAAAAUAGGCCAUAAUUGUCAUUCGGAACAAUUUAGCUUAAAAAUAUCAAAAAAAUCUAUAUAAAUAUGCAAAAAUCACCUUAAUUAUAUUUGGUGCAAAUAUAAGGAUGAAAAAUAAAUGGUUCACAAAAAUGGGAAUUUGAGAAUAAUUAUUGGGAUUUUAUACUGUUAAAAUAGACAAUAAAUUUAUUCUAAAAAUCUUUAAAAAUUAGGGAAAAUACCAAAACCUUUGGGGACGCAUAUAUAUGCAUAUACAUGCUAUUUUGAAAGUAUUUUGAAUAUAAAAAUACAUAGGAAAAUUGAGUAUCAACAUUCACCAUUUUUGACUUCGGCUUGAAAACUUUUAGAUGGUUUGGAAGAGAGAUUUCAAGUGAACUUCGUUAAGGUAAGGAUUUUGUACAUAAAACAUAAUUCUAUGGUAGUAUUUCAUGGAUUAAGGCUGUAAUUAAAGGAAUUAAAGGGCUAAAAAUGGAGGAUUAAGGCUUGAGUUAAAGAGGCCUUUAAGGGAGGAUUUGAGGGGUCAUUUGGACUCCGAUUUUAGUGUUCUUUAUAUGCUUAUUCUCGUGGGGAGACGGGGAAUCUAUUAAUAUAAAAAAUUCUGAGUUUCAAGAAGUGGGAUCGCGGGUCGAAUUUUUGUAAUUUCGGAAUAUGUGCCCUUUAUUGAUUAUUUUCGUUGCGUCGUUCCCUUAGCAUAUCUUUAUGUCCUCGUUCUGAUUUUGGAUAGAUUCGAUAUGCACGGAUGGCGAUUCGAGGAGCAACGGAUUCGGGAGCUAGAGAUUUAGCUGGUUCGAGGUGAUUAAUGAUUGUAAAUGAUAUUCUGAGAAUUUGAAACCCCACAUUGCACAUCAUAGUGCUAUGUUGAGGUGAGACACACGUUUGAUAACGAGUGUGGGGUCAUGUACUAUUGGGGAUUGUGACUUGGUCCAUCUCGAUUAAUGAUUUUACCGCGUAUUUGACUGAGACUUACUUGCUAUCAUCAUUAUUUGGGCUGAAUGUCAUAUUUGGGUUUCGUGCCAACUAUUUAAACCCUUCGGGAAUUUUUUAUUACUAUUUCCUCUCGAUUUUGACUUAUUACUCGAACUCAAUAAUGUUAAUUUUCACUGUUUUACUACUCAGCAAUGUUUACAAGUGUUAAGACUUAAAUGAUAUUUUGAAUGAUGUUUGGGCUGAGAAAUAUUGUUUUACUAUUAUCCGAGGGGUUUGUGAUAAUUUUUGGACUGAGUAAGGCUGAU